rnacentral:tRNA from 1 species
UAAAUGAAAGCCAAAUAGAGGCGCCUAGCUGUUAAUUAGGAGACUGUAAGUUAUUACUCAUUUAG